rnacentral:tRNA from 1 species
GCCGGGGUGCCCGAGCGGCCCAAGGGGGUGGGCUCGAGACCUCCAGCGCCCGAAGCGACCGAGAGACCCACUGCCCCAAUCAGGGGCGCGCGGGUUCGAAUCCCGCCCCCGGCG